UACAGAGGGUGCGAGCGUUAAUCGGAAUUACUGGGCGUAAAGCGCACGUAGGCGGCUUGGUAUGUCGGGUGUGAAAUCCCCGGGCUCAACCUGGGAACUGCAUCCGAAACUGCCUUGCUCGAGUAUGGGAGAGGGAAGUGGAAUUUCCGGUGUAGCGGUGAAAUGCGUAGAUAUCGGAAGGAACAUCAGUGGCGAAGGCGACUUCCUGGACCAAUACUGACGCUGAGGCGCGAAAGCGUGGGGGAGCAAACAGG
rnacentral:rRNA from 1 species